UUACGCUCUUCGAUGAUCUUCACUUCUCCGUGUGGAUCGCUGGACCCCGAGUCUUCAAGUCGCUCCUGUUUGACAGCCAACACGUCGGCACGUUCCUUCUGAAAUAUAAAGAGUAAUACUAUGACAAAAAGAAACACACGGAAGCCGUGAAUAUUGAUAUUAUUGGCGUUCCGUCGCUUUACUUUGUCCCUCGAGACCACUGGAGCGCUUUCCUCGCGCUCAGCUGCGGGCUGUCGGUGUCUGUCCAGCGUAAGGUCCAUCUGCACGCCAAAGCCGCUCUGUCCAGCGGGGACAUGGCCGUCCUCUAAAGCAAUGGGAGAAAGAAGGGGUGAAAGUUGACAGUCUCCGAUGAGGGGUCCGCUGAGCCCCCCCGCCUCCCCGGAGUCACGGUACACCCCCCCGCCGCCCGCCUCGAACCUGCGCUCCGUCCCGAGGCCUACGGAAGCGCCGAAGCUCUUCCGCAGGAGGCCGCACCCGUUCAAGUCCGCUGCGCCGGCGCUGGGCUCGUCCCUGACUCCGCCCACUCCCGCCCUCAUCCGAGAGAACGGGGGGCAGACGUCGGCGAUGUUUUCCGCGUGAAUGUUCUCUUCGUCCCCGUCGUCGUCAUCGUCGUCGUAGUUUUUGGGGUGCGUGUGACCAGCGCGUGACACGACCGGCCUGUUCCACACGGAACGGGCCUCGGCCUCCAUUUUAACCGUCUCCACCACCGCAGCCUCAGGCUUCCAGUCCAGAUAGCCCAGCGAGGGCAGGCUGCUCCCAGAGCCACCGUCCACCGGAGGACCCCGCUGCAGCUCCGAGCGAAAGGUCAGGCUCUCCGGGUCCGAUUCUGCAGAGUAAGAGCAACACGGGUCCUCUGUCUCCGCCACGGCGCCCCCUUGUGUACAGUAGGACCCCAGCUGGCCUGGCCUUUCGUACAGGACAAACUCGGAGUCCAGGCUGCUCCGUCCUCCAGGCCUGAGGUCAGCGCCGCCGUGUCGGAGCCCCAGGCCAGAUCGCCCUUUCCGGGCCUUCUGCAUGCCCCCGGUCCUGAACCCCUGGAGCUCCCAAAGGCCGCUCGGGGCGCUGUGCUCAGCGAGCUCCUCCAGGGGGCGCACUGGAGCAGUCUGCGUGUUCAGGGCGGGAACUCUUCCCCCGACAGUGGCGCCACCCCGCUCUACAGCUCCUGGAGAAAAAAAACAUCAGAAACCCCUGAUCACUGAGAGACCACAAACCACACCCCCACCCCCACACCCCACCCCACCCCACUCACGCUCUCCACAGCUCCUGGCACCCCCCCGCGCCUCGCUGCUGGAACCCUCCUCUCCGAGUCUCUCCUCCUUCACAGGAAGCGGUUCGCACCCCUCCUCCUCCUCCACGGCCGUGGGCUGUAACACAGAGACGAGGCCAAAAGCUGAAGAACGCCAGGCCAGCGCAACCUUCAGCAACAAAGACGCCCGAACGCACAGGCUUGGGUAGCCAAUGAGUGAACACCAGGGCUGCCCAACCCUGUUCCUGCAGGUACACCAUCCUGCAGGCUUUCAACCCUAACAAAGCACACCUCAUUCAACAGCUAGAGCAGGGCUGCACAACCCUGUUCCUGAAGAUCAACAUUCUGCAGGCUUUCAUUCCAGCCCUAACAAAGCACAACUCAUUCAACAGCUAGAGAUCUCGUUGAGCUACUAAUUAGUGGUCAGAGGUGCCAAAUUUGGGUUGGAGUGAAAACCUACAGGACGGUAGAUCUCCAGGAGCAGGGCUGGUCUGCCCAGCUGCACACAGAAGAAUGUAACAUAAGGUUCAGAAGUCUUGAGGAACUGUAAAUAAAUUUAAGCAAUGAACUGGAGCUUCAGUGUAGUACGAUGGCUGGGAAGCUGAGCUUAUAACUGUGGAGCUGCAGGUUUGAUUCCUAGGUGCAGUGCCCUUUAGCAAAGCCACUUAACCUGAAUCUCUUCGGUCCAGCUGUUAAAAUGAACUGUGUGUAAAGCCUGCAAGCUGUGUGACCUGCUCUGGACAGGAGCGUCCGCCAAAUGUUGAAAACGUGAAAUGUAAAUGUAGCAUAACCGAUAGGACAGCGGGUGCACAGGUGACCCAUAUCCCGAAUAGAAGGGCAGGGAGGGCAGGGCAGGAGGUCCUGCAGGGUGAUGGAUGUAAGAGAGGAAAAAACGAGGCGGUCUUCAGAGGAGGAAACCGAGUCAAACUGGAAGCAGUGUCUGUGGGUUCCUUCUGGUUUACCUUUAAUUUAUAAUCUAUUCAGGCUUUGAAAACAAGGUGUGUGGACUUUUUAGCCUAAUCAGUGACUUAAUCACUUAAGUGCUGAAACACACCAAAAACCUGCAGACACAGCGCCCCCUCCAGGACUGGAGUUAAACCUGCAGACACUGCGGCCCUCCAGGACUGGAGUUAAACCUGCAGACACUGCGGCCCUCGCAGGACUGGAGUUAAACCUGCAGACACUGCGGCCCUCCAGGACUGGAGUUAAACCUGCAGACACUGCGGCCCUCCAGGACUGGAGAGUGAUAUCUCUGCUUUAAAGGCUAACAAAAAGAAGAUCACAGUUUAAAGGCUGAAUAUAUUAAGUCUUAAAGUCAGUCUUUUUUAAGAAGCACUAUAAAUCAAAGUUAACUAUUUAAAAACAAAUGUGUAUAGAUAAUUUAUUGUAUAAAUAAUUUCACUUGCUCUGACUCCCAUCUAAAAACUUCCCCAGUCCUCACAAAUCAAUGAAAAACUAGUACAUGGAUUCUAAAUGUUUAUUGAUGUUCAAUGAAUAGUCAUACAUAAUUUGCAAAAUGGUGCAAAAAAUGACUCAUAUUAAGUGCACCACAGUUCUUUGGAACUUUCUACUUCACUUUGGUGCACUUAAUAUAAGUGUCAUAUUUUUUGUUUAAAUGAAACAUUCAACUUUCUCCAGAACACAUUAGGAGGUUGUAUUUUUUUUUCCACAAACCUAAGAUUUUUUUCUUGCAAUGAAAAGUCAGCAGUGAUCACAUACACAGUGAUUUUAGUCCCAUUACAUGUACAAAAUGUAACAAUAAAAAUACCUUUCUGCUCUGUUCAA